UGGGGAAUAUUGCACAAUGGGGGAAACCCUGAUGCAGCGACGCCGCGUGAGCGAAGAAGGUUUUCGAAUCGUAAAGCUCUGUCCUAUGAGAAGAUAAUGACGGUACCCUGUGAGGAAGCCCCGGCUAACUACGUUCCAGCAGCCGCGGUAAUACGCAGGCGGCUAGCGUUAUCCGGAUUUACUGGGCGUAAAGGGUGCGUAGGUGGUCUUUCAAGUCGGUGGUUAAAGGCUACGGCUCAACCGUAGUUAGCCUCCGAAACUGGAAGACUUGAGUGCAGGAGAGGAAAGUGGAAUGCCCAGUGUAGCGGUGAAAUGCGUAGAUAUUGGGAGGAACACCGAUAGCGAAGGCGGCUUUCUAGACUGCAACUGACACUGAGGCACGAAAGCGUGGGUAGCAAACAGG
rnacentral:rRNA from 1 species